CAUGGAUAGGUCUUGUGUGUGCGUAGGAAAUUUUUUGAUUCCCAUGCAACGUUCCCCAAAAGUAUCAACAAUCAGGUCCAUCACCCUAAUCCUGGUGUGGGUAUCUAUGUGGUGCAAAAUAUUGAUAGAAUACCCCCUGAUCAUCUUAUCAUCACCUAACUUAGGCAUCAAGGUGUACCUCAUUAUAGUGUUGGUGGUG
rnacentral:lncRNA from 1 species